GGCAGGAUAGAAAUCUAUCUGUUGGUUAAUCAUGGUAUAAAAAUCAAAGAUUCUGAUGUAAAGUUCAUAUGCUCUACUGCAGAACAGUAGUUACCUUGUAAGUUAGCGGUGAUUAACCAGGAAAAGAGCUGCACCCUCUUUACCUUGUAAGUUAGUGGUGAUUAUGUCCUGCAACAUGCUGCUUAGUAUUUGUUUAGUAUUGUUUGGCUGCUUCACACAUAUCUUCUUAAUUUUGUUAUUCAGGACUCGUAGUAAUAAGUCACUGACCUGCAUGUUAGGUUCAUAGCACAGGAUUCUUCUAGCUUCUCAGCCGUCGCGUUGGAACUACUCAUUUUUUUAGGUAAAGUCUUUCUUUGAUUUCUGGCUUGUAAAUUUUCAGGACGGAGACGGAAAUUAGUCUUACUCGAG
rnacentral:lncRNA from 1 species